GCCUACGGCCAUACCACUCUGAGAAUGCCCGAUCUCGUCUGAUCUAAGCAGGGUCGGGCCCGGUUAGUACUUGAAUGGGACACUGCCUGGGAAUACUGGGUGCUGUAGGCU
rnacentral:rRNA from 1 species